CCCGCCAACUUCUCCCGACAGUGAAACUUUGUAAAGCGACUUAGUCAAAGUUUAAUAAAUUCCUUCGAGGAAGUUUCAAAGCGGUUCUACGCGGGAUUGCAAAUGAUUACGUUUCGUCGUGCUAGAGAAUAUGCGAAGAUGGGAGAAAUCGAUAUGUAGGACGGACAGAAACAAAUAAAUAGAUAGAAGGAACACACUAAUAUAAUUAUGAAAAUAAGGAUAUUUUAAGUUAUAUUAAUAGAUGUGAAUCAAAUAAAUGUGUGUUAUAACCAGAUUCAAUCAAACAGUAAAAAAAUGUUAUCAUCACAAAGGAACUGAGUUGUGACUUAAUGAUGAUUGGAACAAAGUUAAAUUAUUUGAUAUUAAAAUUGUAAUAACUCAUUAUAAUAUUUGUAUUAUAUUUGUAUGUUCUUUGUUUCCUGUGAUACUUUUUUCAUUGAUUUUCAUCUCUAAUGAUUAUUCAAUCUGAUCUUUUUUUUUCUCGUUUCGAAUAUAAAUCGAUUUAUCUCAACUUCCACAGCGCGCUACAAAGAGAAAUCCUCGACUCGACGAACGUACAAUCUCGUAAUUUAGUUUAAUGUUCCCGUGGAUUGCGCGAGUAAGUUGCGAUAGGUCAAUCGAUGUCGUAAGGCUGCUUAUAGUCACGUAUUCCUCUUUUGUGACGAAUAUCGAGACAUGAUAUAUUACAAGAACAUCUUUUACGAGAUAGUCCUCCUAUCUUCGAUUUCUCCUCUUUUGUCGCAUGUAACUCGAAGGUAAAUCGAUAAGGGACUAUAUCGCGUUACGUCGGCGAAGCGUAUAUAAUUCCGAAAGCGGAACGGGAGGAGGAAGUAAUACCGCACCUCUCCGCACCGUACCGCACCGCACCGCACCGCGCAUCGCUCGCGAAGAAACAAAAAGACGGAUUCGUACUUUAUGCAUGAAAGAGAAGUCUAUGCGUCGAACGAAGGGACGAACAAGGACAAGGAGAGAGGCUCACUGCAUAACGAACAUAGUCGACUCGGUAGUGGUGACCAGAAAAUGGCCGCCACGACGCAAACAAAUGAGCAAGUCUGACCAUUCCCAUGGCAACAAUCUCAAUCAGAUAGGAACUAGCGAAGCAGAGAACAGAGAACGCGCUGGAUAAUAUAUUCGAUACAGGUUAUUUGCGCUUAAUACACUACCUUCAGCAUCGAUGACUCGCAGAGUUGGCAGCAAAUCGAAGAAGGGAGAGCGAACAGUACGAGAAACCGGUUAUCAUUGUUACAGCGUCGUCGCUACCACAAGUCAUGGUCGACUACGAAUAUUCGAGAUGCUGACGUCGUCACGACUUAACCCUUUAUUGUGAUAAUAUACAAAUGUAUUAUUAUUUCAAACCAAAAAACUUUCUCUCGUUUAUUUAAAUGAGCAAAAUCUGAAAAGAAAGAGACAGGAUAUAAUUUGGGUGGAAAUAAAAGAUCAAAUCGGACUUGCGAUCAAAUUCGUCCUACCUCCGAAGACAAACUGUUUGUCUAUUUUAAGGCCGAAUGAAAAAUUUAUAAAGUAUGAAGCAGUCAACGUCAGAGUAGUCCGUAACGUCGGAUAAAGUACUAUCACCUGAUGAAAUCUGAGAUUAAUACUUGGCACUGCUAUUUUUUACCGUUAGAAUUUAUAAUUAAUUGUAUUAAUUGUGCAAUAUCUUUAUAAUGUGGAAUACCAUCAUCAGAUUUAAGUUUACAACGUGCAAUUAUAAUUAACCUAGCAUGCACUGCUAGUCAACAAUCCUACGUGAAACGUUUCCCAGUAUUCGAUGAUGUAUACGUGUAACGGUAGAUUGCGAUUUCGAGGUCAAAUGUCAGACUUGGAUCCGCACAAUCCGUUAAGGCAUAACUAAAUAACAAAGUAACAUGUUUAUGAAAGAAAAUAUAAGCAUGAAUAAGUUUAAAUAAAUAAAAUAUUAUUUUAUACUUAUUCACGAUAUUAUGCGAAAUAAUCGUUCGAGUUUACAACUCAUAAACCUUUAGAAAAAAAUAUUAAAGAAGACAUAUAUGGAUAUCACACGUCCAGAUAAUAUCGAAUAAUACCGGAAUGAAAGUUUCGUUAAGCUAGCAGAGGAACAGUGGCUUUAAUUCGAAUUCUCCCUCUCCUCCCUCAUAUAUUACACUGUUUUAUAUCUCUUACUUUUGUUUUUAUUGCACACUCAUUGUUGUUUUCCACUUUGUUUUAUGGCUUUGAAAAAACUAAAUAUAAACUAAUAAAUGUGUAUUUCUCAUGCGAAUGAGAUAUAUAAUGUUUAUAUCGCAAGUAUAUAUCAAUACUUUUCUUUUAUUAUUUUCAUAAUUUUAUCUUUGAAGUAGAAAGAAGGCGGAAGCAGUAAAUUAGGAAAUUAAAAUGAGUAUAUGAUCAAUAUUGUACUUUGUGAGAAUAAAGUGUAAUUAAAUGCUUUACGUUUAACAUAGAAUUAAGGUAAGAUACGUUUAUACUUGGAUGCAAUAUAUUAAAUUUUAGGAAUUUUUCAACUUUUUUUGAAAUAAAAAUGUUUCUACACUA